rnacentral:rRNA from 1 species
UGGGGAAUUUUGGACAAUGGGCGAAAGCCUGAUCCAGCAAUGCCGCGUGUGUGAAGAAGGCCUUCGGGUUGUAAAGCACUUUUGUCCGGAAAGAAAUCCUUGGCUCUAAUACAGUCGGGGGAUGACGGUACCGGAAGAAUAAGCACCGGCUAACUACGUGCCAGCAGCCGCGGUAAUACGUAGGGUGCAAGCGUUAAUCGGAAUUACUGGGCGUAAAGCGUGCGCAGGCGGUUUGCUAAGACCGAUGUGAAAUCCCCGGGCUCAACCUGGGAACUGCAUUGGUGACUGGCAGGCUAGACGUAUGGCAGAGGGGGGUAGAAUUCCACGUGUAGCAGUGAAAUGCGUAGAGAUGUGGAGGAAUACCGAUGGCGAAGGCAGCCCCCUGGGCCAAUACUGACGCUCAUGCACGAAAGCGUGGGGAGCAAACAGGAUUAGAUACCC